CCGCCCCGGGCCGUACGGAUGAGGCCCGGAGAGCCCGCGCGCGGCGAACCCCGGCCCCCCCGGAGCCCCGGCCCGGGUGCCACUCCCUUCCCAGCCAACCGCACCGACCCUCGGGGUGAACGGAGCCCCUGCCCGGAGCCUUGGCUGUGACUGCUCGCAGGACACCGCUUAAUUCCACCCCAACCCCAGGAGCUCCCGGCCCCACGGAAGAGACAGUACAGCGCUCAACACACGACAGGCUGAACCAGUGCGCCCUUCAUAGCCUCAAUUCCAGGUAAUAUAAGGACGGAAGCCAAUGGGAUAGUAACUCACUCUGAAGUGACUGUUGUACACAAUCUCAUCACCACAUUUCAUGCAUCACACAAUAAAGGACCCAGAGGGACGCCUGGGUGGCUCAGCACUGGAGUGUCUGCCUUUCGCUCAGGUCGUGAUCCCGGGGUCCUGGGAUGGAGUCCCACAUCAGUUUCCCCAUGGGGAGCCUGCUUCUCCCUCCUCCUGUG